GGGGGCCCGCACAAGCGGUGGAGCAUGUGGUUUAAUUCGAUGCAACGCGAAGAACCUUACCUACUCUUGACAUCCAGAGAACUUUCCAGAGAUGGAUUGGUGCCUUCGGGAACUCUGAGACAGGUGCUGCAUGGCUGUCGUCAGCUCGUGUUGUGAAAUGUUGGGUUAAGUCCCGCAACGAGCGCAACCCUUAUCCUUGUUUGCCAGCGAGUAAUGUCGGGAACUCCAGGGAGACUGCCGGUGAUAAACCGGAGGAAGGUGGGGACGACGUCAAGUCAUCAUGGCCCUUACGAGUAGGGCUACACACGUGCUACAAUGGCGCAUACAGAGGGCGGCCAACUUGCGAAAGUGAGCGAAUCCCAAAAAGUGCGUCGUAGUCCGGAUUGGAGUCUGCAACUCGACUCCAUGAAGUCGGAAUCGCUAGUAAUCGUGGAUCAGAAUGCCACGGUGAAUACGUUCCCGGGCCUUGUACACACCGCCCGUCACACCAUGGGAGUGGGCUGCAAAAGAAGUAGGUAGUUUAACCUUCGGGGGG
rnacentral:rRNA from 1 species